ensembl:lncRNA
UUGAGAUUAAGAAAUCAAAUAUUCUAUAAAAUGUAAAUACACUGAACUUAUUUGGAUAUAUUUAAGUGAGACUCUACAAUAUUAUUUAUGACACAAAUCUGUCUAAAUCAAAAUUUUAAUCAUUUUUACUCCAAACAUUUACUGGACUGAUUUAAAUAUUAAAAUCACUCCUUUCUAAUCCUCUGCUGUACUUUCAAACCUGAGGCCUUAAAUAGAAACACACAAGUAUCUGAUUGAAGGAACUUCUGCAGAGUCCUGGUUCCAGAACAUGAUGAUAGAAUUAUAGACAAACUUUAACAAAAGCUGCCUGAGAGUUUACAGGUUUUUAUGUUGGAUUUCUUCAGUAAUUUAAUGAGUUAUCAGCAAAAAUCAAGUGUUCAUUUGAUGAACUUCAUUUCCUAAAACAUACAGAAUUGGAGCUCAUAUCUUUGGCAGCUGUAAAGUUUCUGCUUCUUCAAAGUUCACAACACAAUGAAUGAAUUCCUAAAACACUCUCAAUGCUGGAGAGCGUUUGAUGCUGAAGCAGUGACCAGUUUUUCUGUUUCUUCUCUGGAGAUGCACAAUGAGGGACGUCUGCAGAGACUGAGAAAGAGUCUCACCACAUCCUUACAUGAGGAAAAAGACUUUAUUGAAGACUACAAUGAGAAAAACUAUCAGACAGCAGACGGCAUGCAUUCAAGUUUAGGCUGUUAGAUUGUUCCAGAUAAGACAAGUACAAGAUACUUCAGAGCCGUUCUACCACGAGCCUGACAGGAAGAACUCCAACAGCUACUGAAUGUUCCUGUGGUCCCCUCAAGGCUACAGGAGGAGCCCUACGAGGACGAGCCUGUCCACCUGAUGGUGGCCAGUCGCUGCGGUUCAAAGCCAACACCGACUACGUGGACUUCUACUGGACCACACGGAGGCCUUCAAACCGGACCAACAAGUUCAGCGACUCCCCGACUCGUGGGUCCGAGGACGCCGCCGAGCCUCGGUCCAGCCGGCCUCCUGUCUGUGGGUGUUUGAGUGCUGAGAGGCCUCCGUUGACUCGUCCCGCCUGCCGUCUCUGGAGCUGAAGCUGGAUUGGAACAGACCAAAG